UAAUUCCAGCUCCAAUAGCGUAUAUUAAAGUUGUUGCAGUUAAAAAGCUCGUAGUUGAACCUUUGGCCUGGCUGGCAGGUCCGCCUCACCGCGUGCACUUGUCCGGCCGGGCCUUCUCUUCUGGAGAACCGCAUGCCCUUCACUGGGUGUGUUGGGGACCAGGACUUUUACUUUGAAAAAAUUAGAGUGUUCAAAGCAGGCCUUUGCUCGAAUACGUUAGCAUGGAAUAAUAGAAUAGGACGUGCGGUCCUAUUUUGUUGGUUUCUAGGACCGCCGUAAUGAUUAAUAGGGACAGUCGGGGGCAUCAGUAUUCAAUUGUCAGAGGUGAAAUUCUUGGAUUUAUUGAAGACUAACUACUGCGAAAGCAUUUGCCAAGGAUGUUUUCAUUAAUCAGUGAACGAAAGUUAGGGGAUCGAAGACGAUCAGAUACCGUCGUAGUCUU
rnacentral:rRNA from 1 species